rnacentral:rRNA from 1 species
AUUGAACGCUGGCGGCAUGCUUUACACAUGCAAGUCGGACGGCAGCACAGAGAAGCUUGCUUCUUGGGUGGCGAGUGGCGAACGGGUGAGUAAUAUAUCGGAACGUACCGAGUAAUGGGGGAUAACUAAUCGAAAGAUUAGCUAAUACCGCAUAUUCUCUGAGGAGGAAAGCAGGGGACCUUCGGGCCUUGCGUUAUUCGAGCGGCCGAUAUCUGAUUAGCUAGUUGGUGGGGUGAAGGCCUACCAAGGCGACGAUCAGUAGCGGGUCUGAGAGGAUGAUCCGCCACACUGGGACUGAGACACGGCCCAGACUCCUACGGGAGGCAGCAGUGGGGAAUUUUGGACAAUGGGCGCAAGCCUGAUCCAGCCAUGCCGCGUGUCUGAAGAAGGCCUUCGGGUUGUAAAGGACUUUUGUCAGGGAAGAAAAGGCUGUUGCUAAUACCGACAGCUGAUGACGGUACCUGAAGAAUAAGCACCGGCUAACUACGUG